CACAUGUAAAACCUGCAGGGACUCCGGCCCCCGUGGACUGGGAUUGGGGACCCCUGCCCUGUACCCUCUAAAAAUACUUAUGGUGUAUGAAGGUGUGUGUUUGUGUGUGCAGUGGUGGAAGAGCUUUGGAUUGUCAGCCUUGUGGGCUGAAUGCACUGCAGCAAGUGUAAUGACCAAACACAGAUGCGUGGAUCUUCCUGCUCCUCUGCUCACUAGUGACUGUCACCUGUUAAAUAUAUUUCUGGUUUAGCUACAUCUAAAAAAAACUUGUGAAUUUGUUUUAUGAAGUUUACUAUAAGACAUUAAUAUUAAUAUCCAUUCAAUUUGGUUUAUUCUGCGUUUGUCCUUUUCUUAUGUCAUAGUUGUCAUGGUUCUGGGUCAUUUGACCUGACAUUUUGUGUUUGUCUUUUUGUUAUUUUUUUUAUGUGUGUCUUGUAAUGAUUUAACUUUCUAUACUUUAGUCCUUCCAUGUCACUGAGUUUAUUGGUCCUGUGAAAUUAAGUGGAAAAUAUUUUUCAUAUUCUCAGGAAAGUGUAUAUCUGCAUGUGUAUAUGUCUGUGUGUGUGUGUGUCCAGAGUUCAGCUGAGACAGUGUCCUUCGCCCUGCCAGGCUAAGUAAACAGUCUUCCAGCCAACCCAGGUGGCCUUGCAUAGAAUGGGAAGAACAGUCUCAACACAGUCGUUAUCAGGGUGUUGUUGUUCAGCUCCAGCCUUGAGACCGCAGCUGGCGCCAAAGGGGGUCUCCGCAUGAAUAGAGCUUCAACCUGCAUUUGCAGCUGGCAAAUUGAAAUGUGUUCACAGACAGAGAUUUCUUCUCAGCCGGCUUCGUCUGCUCCCCAACCUGUCCUGGAGGACCAGGAGGUCCUUGCAAACCUGGUGCACCCUAUGGUCACGGCAGGGAAAGAGUGGCAGCUUUAGAAAUUCAGUAAAAGCUCUGAGAAGACGAGCUUGAGGCAGAGACUGAACAUAACUCUAGUAAAAAA